UGAAAAAGGCACAUAACCUGUUCUGUGGACUCCCCCACACCUCACAGCAAAAUCUGACAAGACCUGAGCAUAUACACUCUCCAUGAUUUACACAUAAGUACUACAGAGCUUAAGAUUUACCAGAACCUUCUGCAGGAUGUUCCUGGUUAUGUUGAAAAAAAGAAGGAAAGAAAGAAACAAGGAAAGAAAGAAGGGAAGAAAGAAAGAAAGAAAGAAAGAAGGAGAAAAAGGAAGAAAGAGGGAAGAGGGAAAGGGGAAAAUAUUAUUGUAUUCAAAACUCACCAGAUUCUCUUCUGAUCUAAUGGUUGUAAUAUUUAGUUCUACAUAGUUUCUGUAAAUUUAUUCAUGAAUUGGGAUUUUGUUCCUUUUUAGUGAUCAUUGCAUGCUGUCAUUUAUUAUAUUUAUAAUAACUCACAUGCUUGUCAUUAUUGCUAGCUAAAUAAAUAAAUGCUCUUUUAUGUUCAUAAAA